AUUGAACGCUGGCGGCAGGCCUAACACAUGCAAGUCGAGCGGCAGCGGGAGGAAGCUUGCUUCCUUGCCGGCGAACGGCGGACGGGUGAGUAAGGUAUGGGGAUCUGGCCGAAGGCGAGGGAUAACCACUGGAAACGGUGGCUAAUACCGCAUAAUCUCUAAGGAGCAAAGUGGGGGGGCGUUCAGGCCUCACAGCUGCGGAUGAACCCAUAUGAAAUUAGGUAGUAGGUGGGGUAAUGGCUCACCUAGGCGACGAUCUCUAGCUGGUCUGAGAGGAUGAUCAGCCACACUGGGACUGAGACACGGCCCAUACUCCUACGGGAGGCAGCAGUGGGGAAUAUUGCACAAUGGGCGCAAGCCUGAUGCAGCCAUGCAGCGUGUAUGAAGAAGGCCUUCGGGUUGUAAAGUACUUUCAGUCGUGAGGAAGGUGUUAAGGUUAAUAACCUUAGCAAUUGACGUUAGCGACAGAAGAAGCACCGGCUAACUCCGUGCCAGCCGCCGCCGUAA
rnacentral:rRNA from 1 species